AACGAACGCUGGCGGCAGGCUUAACACAUGCAAGUCGAACGCACCUUUCGGGGUGAGUGGCAGACGGGUGAGUAACGCGUGGGAAUCUACCCUUCUCUACGGGAUAGCUCCGGGAAACUGGAAUUAAUACCGUAUACGUCCUGAGGGAGAAAGAUUUAUCGGGGAAGGAUGAGCCCGCGUUGGAUUAGCUAGUUGGUGGGGUAAAGGCCUACCAAGGCGACGAUCCAUAGCUGGUCUAAGAGGAUGAUCAGCCACAUUGGGACUGAGACACGGCCCAAACUCCUACGGGAGGCAGCAGUGGGGAAUAUUGGACAAUGGGCGCAAGCCUGAUCCAGCCAUGCCGCGUGAGUGAUGAAGGCUCUAGGGUUGUAAAGCUCUUUCAGUGGGGACGAUAAUGACGGUACCCACAGAAGAAGCCCCGGCUAACUUCGUG
rnacentral:rRNA from 1 species